rnacentral:lncRNA from 1 species
UUUUUUUUUUUUUGGAACCAAAAAGCUGGUAUAACACUAUCUUACCCACAGCUUUUUUUUAAUUCCCUUUGGUAUUACAUAAAAUAAUAUAUAGGAAAAGUGAAAAGUGCCUCAUAUAGUAUCUGAUACGUACAGGGUGCCCAGCAAAUUGUAUGUUAAGUUUAAAUUGUGACACAGGUAUUAGAACUCUAUACAAACACUCCCCAAAAUUUCUGUAAUGACAGAAAUAUUUUAUGUCUGUGCUGUCUACUGCUGUAGCCAUUAGCAAUAUGUAGCUAUUGACACUUUAAAUGUGGCUAGUGCAACAGCAGAAUUGAAUUAUUAAUUUUAUAUCAUUUUAAUUAAUUUAAAUUUAAGGAGCUACAUGUGGCAAAUGGCUAGCAUAUUGGACAACAGAUUUAUUUUAUAUAAAAUUCACCACAUAAUUAAAACAUUUUAAUCUAAAAAUAUAAAAACAAAGUUAACUCAUUUCCAAAUUUUGAUGGCCCCUUAAAAUAACAUACAUUAUAGUAAUUAGUAUUCUAUUUACCACUAUGCAUUUUAAAAUCUCUUGGAUAGAAAUAAAACAUAAUUUCAUGACAAUAAUUUUGAUUUUGACAUGUUUGGAUACAUGUUACAAAAUAAAUGAAUGAUAUAAUUAAUUUCAAAAAAGAAAAUUACAUAGCAGGAUAUAUAAUGUGAUAUCAUUUGUUUUGGAAAGAUAUACAUCAAAAUUUUAACACUAUCACAGAAAUGUAGGAUUACAUGUAAUUUGUGUUAUGCUCUGAUGAAUGUUUUAUAUUGCUUGAAUAUUUUAAAAUAAUCAGGUGUUAAUUUUAUAAUUCGAGUUAUUUUGCUUAUGUUACAAAAAUUUUAAAACGCAUUAACCAAAAAGAUUCUGGAAAAUAAGAAUAAGCCCAAUUCACAGGAAUACCACCUCCAUUUAUGUCUCCAUUUAAGGUAUUUCAUUUUGUCUUUCUCUUAUGAGUAGAUAAUCAUGCCAUCUCAAUAUAAAGUUAAAAAUAAAGGCAUUAAAGCAACUAUCUGAGAUCCAUUCACUACCUUUACCAACACUGUGCUACUGGGUGAACACAAAGAGGGCAAGUGACCCAGUCUAAUCUACUUGUCAGCAUGAUAAUUAGACCUCUUGGUAAGUGAUAAAAUGAUAUUCGCUAGGAAGAAGAUCCUUAACUAUAGAAUGUUCUUCACAGGAUGUGUCUGGUUAUGUACUGCUCAAAGAAAUUAAAUCCAAUAUAUGAAGUAAUGAGGUAUGCUUCAUAUAAAAUGGCAGGGACAUUGAAAGGAAACCCUUGACUAAUUCAUCAACAAAAUAGCCCUUCCCUAACAUGACUCAUUGGCAAAAGCUAAUUGAAUUUCCAGGUUUUCCUAGGCACUGUCCAUGGUGCUGGUACUUCAGAAGUCAAGACACAUUUGCUGUCCUCAAACUGCUGAUAAUCUAAAAGGAUUCAGAUAAAUAAAUAAUACCAUGUUGCCAGUGCUAAAAUAUAAACACAGGUUCUAUGUCAGUUCGUAUAAGAGGUAGAUACCUAGCCUGAAAAAAUUAGGGAAGCUUUCCUUAAAGAGGUAAUAUCUUAGAGGAAAUGUUGAAGUUAGCUUGGCAAAUGCCCAUUGAGUGUUCUAGGAGCUCUGAAAAGAUGGAUAGUAGAAAGGCAUAGAUCUGUGACAAAGCAUGUCAUAUGGAGAAAGUAAAAGCAAGCCAGGACACUUAUACCUUGUUCAUAAAAAGGAGAUCAAUAAUGGACCAUGAUGCAGGAAAAGUAGAAAAGGGAAUUCUGGAUCUUUUAUGUAACUUCGGCAAUUUACAAACUUCACUGAAAACAAAGGGGAGUCACUUAAGCAAGAGAGUGACACAAAUAUAUUAUAAUUUUAGAAUAGUUAUUGAUAGGAAAUUGACUAGAGUAAUUACGGCAGGAAGUUAGAAGGAUUUCGUAGUGAUCAAAGAGAGAAAUAUUGGGAAUCUGAAAUAAGGCAGAGGCAGUGAGGGGGGAGAGAUGAGAGUUAUUUUGAAUGAUUUAGGAGGGUUAAUCUAUAAAAUUAGAUAGAUUAAAUGUGGGAAGAAAAAGGGAAGUGAAGAGGAUGACUUGGGAUUGUGAUUUGGGCAACAAGUUUACCAAAUCAAAACCAGGAUAGAUUCACCAAAUGUAUGACCCAAUGGAAAAAGUAAUUUAAGGAAAGAUAAUGAGUUAAUUCAGUUUGGUUUUUGAAUUUGAGGUGUCUGAGUUAUAAAGGCAGAGAUAUUUAGUAAGUACUUGAAUAUGACAUGUGGAGUACAGAGACCUAAGCUAACGACAUAACCUCAGGUACAAGUUGAGUUCCCUAGGAGGGUUAAACAUUGAUUUCAUAGGGAUAGAGGGCAAAAUGAGAUGGGGCUGGGUCUAUGAAUCAAUAUUCAGGAGACACAAGCAUCAGGAAGGAGCAGAAGAGAAGGUGCCUACAUAGGAAACGAGGAGGCAGGAGCUAGAGAGAUGGAACACAAAUGAAGCACUAAGACAGACAGAAAGGGAGAAGAGAAAGGAAUGGUCCUUAGUGCCAAAUAAUCCAGAGAUGUCAAGUUUUUUAAAAUGUCCAAUAUUUUUAUAAACAAGGAUAUCAUUGACAACUUUGGCAAGAGCAGGUUCAUUGAUAACAGAAAGUGAAAUUCAGGAGGAGUUUUACUAUAAACUAUCUCAAGGAGACAAGAGUAGGUUUCCUACUACAGUCUUCUGAUUAUUAUCAAAAUAAUUAGGAUUCGCUGUCCUACCUACAGAGUGUUAAACAUUGUCAAGAAAGUGGUGGAUUCUCACUAAUCUUUGUUCUCUGUCUUUAAGGAGAAGAGAAUACUAACUCCAUUCUCUCUGGUCUCAGAUUUAUAGUAAGAAGAGCGUAGUUGAAAUCUUGGUCCCACCAUUUUUAGCUUUGUGACCUUGAGUGCAUUUCUUAAUUAUUUGUUACUUAAAGGGAGGUAGGUAGACCACCUGCACAGCACCACCUGGAAGCUUGUAUAUUCCCAGGACUUACCAACAGUCUGCUGAACCAGAAUCUGUAUUUCAAGAUUUUCUGAUUCUCAAGCAUAUGAAGUUUGAAGAGCAUUGACUUAAUAAAUUAUAAUUUCCCCAACUAAAAUGUAUGGUGUAAUACUGACCAAAUAGACUUUUGCUAAGACCAAUUAAUAAAGUGAAAGUAAUACCAAUUUGUAUUAUCCCCUGAACAUAUUGUUCGAUGCUAUAGAGAUAAGAGAAAAUAAAAAGGGGAAAACCAUUUAUUUCUUGUACCAUUCCUUCUUAAAUCUUGGCCAUUUACCAGGAAGAACUGUCUUAACUUGACCAUGCACUAUUUCUGCUUUUGAGAUAUAUCAAUAUUCCCCAAGUAACCAGAACCAAUUUGGACAGGUUCUGUGGGAAGAUAUGUAGACCAUUUGAGAUACCCCAGGGUGAAAUCUGUUAUGUGACUAAACCUAUGAAAACAGCUGGAUCAACAAUUACUGAUUAGUUAUAUACAAUUGCUCCUUGCUGCCUUGUGACUGAUACUUCUGAGAAAAUAUCCACACAUUCAUACACUUUUAUGUGCAUGCCUGCCCUUUUGGGUUAGAGCUCAUUAUUCAUCCAUUUAACAAAUCUAAUUUCUGAGCUGCCGCUAUGUAUCUGGCAUUGUGCCCUGGUAGAAGUACAACAGUGUGGCCCCUUGAUGUGGUCCUCACCGUCGUGGUGCCUACAGUCUUAUUUUUCCCCAGAAGUUGGCUUCACUCCUGGCCCCAGUGUCUUGGACAUCCAAUUUUAGUUUAUUAUUUAGUACUGUCCCCCACUUUCAUUCCCAUGCUUUAAAAUGACAAGUUUGUCUUACUGCUGAGGCCUGUAAGUGAACCUCACUAUCCAGUAUAAUUCUGCACACUCCAAAUGAAAUCUUACAAUUGAUCCAACACUUCCAAGACCAAUCCAGUAUUCAUUCAUUGAUUCGCCAUUUGUUCAAUAAAUAUAUGCUGAACACACUACUUGCUAAGCACUGUUCUAAGCGGGCAGCACUGUUCAGAGCCCUGCCCAACUGUUCAUGGCCCAGACUGAUUUGCAAAACUCAGAAAUGAAUAAUGAUGAUUUCUACUUAACAAUCCCACCACUAUGAUUUUGUUAAAGUUCUCUGAGGAGUGCUACACCUAAGGUUACCCUAAUCAGAGUAGCAUGAAUAAGGUUUUAACUCAGUAAUUUAAUAUGGACUUUUUAUUUAAAAUGUUCUAGGAAUUCUCCUAUUUUGUGUACAUCAGUAUUUCCAAGCUCUUACUAUUUUCCCCUUUCUUUUUUAUUUUAUUGUUAUAAUAUUUUUAUUUUUCUAUUAUAGUUGAGUUACAAUGUUCUGUCAAUUUCUGCUAUACAGCAAAAUGACCCAGUCACACACAUGCACGUAUAUGCUUUUUUUCUCACAUAUCUUCCAUUGUGUUUCAUCACAAGUAACUAGAUAUAGUUCCCUGUGCUACAUAGCAGAUCUCAUUGCUUAUCCACUCCAAAGGCAAUAGUUUGCAUCUACUAACCCCAAACUCCCAGUCCAUCCCACUCCCUCCCCCUCUGCAACCACAAGUCUGUUCUCCAAGUCCAUAAGUUUCUUUUCUGUAGAAACGUUAUUUGUGCCUUAUAUUAGAUUCCAGAUAUGUGAUAUCAUAUGGUAUUUGUUUUUCUCUUUCUGACUUCACUUAGUAUGAGAGUCUCUAGUUCCAUCCAUGUUGCUGAGAAUGGCAUUAUUUUGGUUUUUUAUGGCUGAGUAGUAUUCCAUUGUGUAUAUACACCACAUCUUCUUAAUCCAUUUAUUUGUUGAUAGACAUUUAGUUUGUUUUCGUGUCUUGGCAAUUGUGAAUAGAGUGCAAUGAACACAGGGGUGCAUGUAUCUUUUUCAAUGAAAGUUUUGUCAGGAUAUAUGCCCAAGAGUGGGAUUGCUGGGAUAUAGAACUACCAUACUUUCCCCUUUCUACCUCAAUUUCUUCAUGAAAUAGUAUCCCACUUAGGUGGAUCUGAAUAUUCACCCAUCCUUUGAGCCAAAAGUUUAAGUUUAUCUCAUACUUAAGUAAUUGGUGCAAUAUACCUCUGUGGAACAGAGAUCUAAAAUUCCUUAAUGUCCUUGUUCUCAUUAAUUGCUCUAAUAAAUGAGGAGAGACCAACUGGCUUAAGUUCAAAUAUCAUUUAUCUUAUUCUUCAUUGCUUUAUGAAAAAAAAAUUUCUGCUAAGAGAGAGUUUAAACUCUGCUGAGGUAACAUGGAAGGUAAGACAGAAGCAUGAAAGAUGCAGAGUAAUGUGAUCAUCACAGGCUCAAAUGGGAGAGAAAAAGGGAAGAAAGGUGGUUGGAAAAUACUGAUAGAAGUGCACUGGAAAGAGAAAGCAGCUUCUGAUUAUUGCUCAUCAAAUCCAAAGAAGGGCAGGUAAUUUUUUCAUGUGAAAUAGAAAAUUAGAAGAGAGCUUUAGAAUAUUAGAAUAUUGGAUUUUUUUAAAUGUUGCAACAUGUCAAGUGGUUUAAAUUCUUUUAUCUUCAAAACAUGUCGUAAAAUUAGGAGAAAGAAUUUAAGAGAAUAUUCCACAGUGUUAUCUACAUAACUAACCUGGGGAGAUGGGAUUGCUAGGUAUUUUUUCUUUCCUUUUAAUAGUUGUCUGUAUUGUCCUCAGUGUAUAUGUUCCGUUCUAGUAAGAAAAAAAAAUUAAUACUCAUUUAAAAAUGAAAAGCUCCCUUCUCACUGUCUUCAGAAAUAAUCACUCUCCAGUUUUGAGUAGGUCUAAGUUUACCAAAACAGGAAAGUUUUAUAGUUUCAAGUGACAUUGUAACUAAGAUCAUAGCUUUCAUUCCAAUUUUUCUCCUGAAAAAGAACUGCAGUGAUGUUUGAGUUGGACAGUAUAGUUGUUAGCUAUUCCCAAAGUCUGGAAACCUCGUAGUCCCCUUCUCUAUUUUAUUUUAUUUUUAAUCGUUGCACCUGCAGCAUAUGGAAGUUCCUAGAACAGGGAUUGAGUCAAAGCUACAGCUGGGACCUACACCACAGUUGCAGCAAUGCUGGAUCCUUUAAUUCUUUGUGCCAGGCCAGGGAUCAAACCUGCACAUCCAGAGGGACCAAGCUGCUGCAGUCCAAUUCUUUUUUUUUUUUUUUUCAGGGCUGAACCUGCAGCUUAUGGAAGUGCCCAGGCUAAGGGUUGAAUCAGAGAAUCAGAGCUGCUGCUACUGGCCUACACCACAGCCACAGCAAUGCCAGAUCCUUAACCCAAUGAGUACAGUCAGGGAUUGAACCCACGUCCUC